rnacentral:rRNA from 1 species
AGCGAACGCUGGCGGCAGGCCUAACACAUGCAAGUCGAACGAUGAAGCCAGCUUGCUGGUGGAUUAGUGGCGAACGGGUGAGUAACACGUGGGCAACCUGCCCCCGGCUCUGGGAUAACUCCAAGAAAUUGGUGCUAAUACCGGAUAUUCACAUUUCUCCGCAUGGGGGUUUGUGGAAAGUUUUUCGGCUGGGGAUGGGCCCGCGGCCUAUCAGCUUGUUGGUGGGGUGAUGGCCUACCAAGGCGACGACGGGUAGCCGGCCUGAGAGGGUGACCGGCCACACUGGGACUGAGACACGGCCCAGACUCCUACGGGAGGCAGCAGUGGGGAAUAUUGCGCAAUGGGCGGAAGCCUGACGCAGCGACGCCGCGUGAGGGAUGACGGCCUUCGGGUUGUAAACCUCUUUCAGCAGGGACGAAGCGCAAGUGACGGUACCUGCAGAAGAAGCACCGGCCAACUACGUGCCAGCAGCCGCCGUAAGAC